AAUUUAAUAGGGCUCCGAGCCUGUAUAUCUAAGGCAUCUGCCACGAUAUACAUGCCGAUUCGGGUUGGGAAGGAAACGACCCAGCCUCCCCUUGUCUCGCAGUAUUGAUGCGGGACGUCUCCAUACCUAUGUAUAGGUGUGGGGGCUUGGAAAGGAGACCAUGGUUUGGGAUG
rnacentral:ncRNA from 2 species